rnacentral:rRNA from 1 species
UACGAAGGGGGCUAGCGUUGUUUCGGAUUUACUGGGCGUAAAGCGCACGUAGGCGGAUCGAUCAGUCAGGGGUGAAAUCCCAGGGCUCAACCCUGGAACUGCCUUUGAUACUGUCGAUCUGGAGUAUGGAAGAGGUGAGUGGAAUUCCGAGUGUAGAGGUGAAAUUCGUAGAGUAUUCGGAAGAACACCAGUGGCGAAGGCGACUUACUGGACACAGUAUUGACGCUGAGGUGCGAAAGCGUGGGGAGCAAACAGGG